GGGCCCGCACAAGCGGUGGAGCAUGUGGUUUAAUUCGAUGCAACGCGAAGAACCUUACCAGGUCUUGACAUGUCACUUUUUUCUUGAAAAAGAAAGUUCCCGAGUGAACACAGGUGGUGCAUGGCUGUCGUCAGCUCGUGUCUUGAGAUGUUGGGUUAAGUCCCGCAACGAGCGCAACCCUUAUUCUGUGUUGCUAUUUAUAGGAAACUCAGAAGACUGCCGGUGAUAAGCCGGAGGAAGGUGAGGAUGACGUCAAGUCAGCAUGCCCCUUACGACCUGGGCCACACACGUGCUACAAUGGCCGGGACAAAGAGAUGCAAUCUCGCGAGAGCAAGCUAACCUCAAAAACCCGGUCUUAGUUCGGAUUGUAGGCUGAAACUCGCCUACAUGAAGCUGGAAUCGCUAGUAAUCGCAGGUC
rnacentral:rRNA from 1 species